AAAAAGAAAAAAAAAUGAAAAUGGAACUUAUUACACCAUGUUGUUGACCUCACCAUGACAUCAUAAAUAAAAUUUAAAAUACCCAAAUUUUGACUAAGUCAAAUGUGACUUAAUAAAACAUAAAAAGGCAUAAAAAUUAAAAGAAAAAUCACUCUCUUCUCCAUCCUCAUCUUCGGCCAAACUCCCUCACUCUCUCACUCAAUGCAUUUCCUCCGUUAAAGCUUGAUCUCAAGCUUGAUUCCUAUGCACUUAACCCUAAUUUCUCCCAAAAUUCUCUAUAAAACCUUGCUAUCUCAACUUGAGAAGGAAUUUGAAAAAGGAAAGAAAGGAGAAAAGUGAAGGAAAUUGAGAAUUGAAUUCCAAAGAAGAGGUUAGUGAUUUAAAUUGAAAUUUUUAGUUUGAUUUAUGUGUUUAUGAUUCCAUACACUUAGAAUUAAAGUGAAAAUGCAAACAAAACCAUUAUGGGGGACUAAAUGAGAUUUUUGGCCAGCAUAUAAGGAGAUAGAAAUUUCUUGAAUUUGAUGAAAUUAAAGUGUUAAUUAGGUUGAAUUAAGUAUGUAGAUUAAGGAAAUACACUUUAAUUUCAUGAGUUGAAUGGAUUGUAUAAAUUAGGGUUCUUAAAUACUUAAAUUGGGAGAAAAAUUGUAGAAAAUGAUCAAUUGAUGCAAAUAACAUUAAUUGAUGUUAGAAAUGGUCAAUUGGGACCAUUGGUGAUGUGUUGAAAUUGGUAUAAUUGAAAAUCAAUUCGGAUUGGUUAGGGGUCCCAACCUGGCAGUUUGACCUAGGUCCCUU
rnacentral:misc_RNA from 1 species